rnacentral:rRNA from 1 species
GGGUUGUGAGGUUAAGCGACUAAGCGUACACGGUGGAUGCCCUGGCAGUCAGAGGCGAUGAAGGACGUGCUAAUCUGCGAUAAGCGUCGGUAAGGUGAUAUGAACCGUUAUAACCGGCGAUUUCCGAAUGGGGAAACCCAGUGUGAUUCGUCACACUAUCAUUAACUGAAUCCAUAGGUUAAUGAGGCGAACCGGGGGAACUGAAACAUCUAAGUACCCCGAGGAAAAGAAAUCAACCGAGAUUCCCCCAGUAGCGGCGAGCGAACGGGGAGCAGCCCAGAGCCUGAAUCAGUGUGUGUGUUAGUGGAAGCGUCUGGAAAGGCGCGCGA